GACCCAAUGUGGUGUAGUGGUUUGAACAUUGGACUGUGACUCUGGAGACCAGGGUUUGAAUCCCUGCUUGGCCA